rnacentral:rRNA from 1 species
AACGAACGCUGGCGGCAUGCCUAACACAUGCAAGUCGAACGAGACCUUCGGGUCUAGUGGCGCACGGGUGCGUAACGCGUGGGAACCUGCCCUUAGGUUCGGAAUAACUCCCCGAAAGGGGUGCUAAUACCGGAUAAUGUCUUCGGACCAAAGAUUUAUCGCCUUUGGAUGGGCCCGCGUUGGAUUAGCUAGUUGGUAGGGUAAAAGCCUACCAAGGCGACGAUCCAUAGCUGGUCUGAGAGAAAGGUCAGCCACACUGGGACUGAGACACGGCCCAGACUCCUACGGGAGGCGGCAGUGGGGAAUAUUGGACAGUGGGCGAAAGCAUGAUCCAGCAAUGCCGGGUGAGUGAUGAAGGCCUUAGGGUUGUAAAGCUCUUUUACCCGGGAUGAUAAUGACGGUACCGGGAGAAUAAGCUCCGGCUAACUCCGUG